AGAGUUUGAUCAUGGCUCAGGACGAACGCUGGCGGCGUGCCUAAUACAUGCAAGUCGAGCGAGCUUGCCUAGAUGAUUUUGGUGCUUGCACUAAAUGAAACUAGAUACAAGCGAGCGGCGGACGGGUGAGUAACACGUGGGUAACCUGCCCAAGAGACUGGGAUAACACCUGGAAACAGAUGCUAAUACCGGAUAACAACACUAGACGCAUGUCUAGAGUUUGAAAGAUGGUUCUGCUAUCACUCUUGGAUGGACCUGCGGUGCAUUAGCUAGUUGGUAAGGUAACGGCUUACCAAGGCAAUGAUGCAUAGCCGAGUUGAGAGAUUGAUCGGCCACAUUGGGACUGAGACACGGCCCAAACUCCUACGGGAGGCAGCAGUAGGGAAUCUUCCACAAUGGACGAAAGUCUGAUGGAGCAACGCCGCGUGAGUGGAGAAGGGUUUCGGCUCGUAAAGCUCUGUUGGUAGUGAAGAAAGAUAGAGGUAGUAACUGGCCUUUAUUUGACGGUAAUUACUUAGAAAGUCACGGCUAACUACGUGCCAGCAGCCGCGGUAAUACGUAGGUGGCAAGCGUUGUCCGGAUUUAUUGGGCGUAAAGCGAGUGCAGGCGGUUCAAUAAGUCUGAUGCGAAAGCCUUCGGCUCAACCGGAGAAUUGCAUCAGAAACUGUUGAACUUGAGUGCAGAAGAGGAGAGUGGAACUCCAUGUGUAGCGGUGGAAUGCGUAGAUAUAUGGAAGAACACCAGUGGCGAAGGCGGCUCUCUGGUCUGCAACUGACGCUGAGGCUCGAAAGCAUGGGUAGCGAACAGGAUUAGAUACCCUGGUAGUCCAUGCCGUAAACGAUGAGUGCUAAGUGUUGGGAGGUUUCCGCCUCUCAGUGCUGCAGCU
rnacentral:rRNA from 1 species